GGAGAGAGGACUCGGGAUUGCUCUCCAGGCCAUGCAGGAAAAGAAGGCCCACAUCUCGAGAUGACGGGGGCGUCUCGUGGGUUUUCUCGAGCUGUGGCGCCAGUGUGGGGUUUCUCACGAGGUACGACGGGGAGUUCAGGUAGCCUCUCGUGUGGCAACAGGGAAGUCAGGUCUCCAUGGGCGGGGCAAGGGGGAGCGCGUCAUUGCUCUCAAGUCAGGGUAGGGGAAUCGGGCCUCAUGACGGGUUGAAAAAGGACUCUCGAUGUCUUUCUAGGGUUGCGGCAGGAAACCCUGGGUUCCCUUGACUUGUGCCGGUGACCUCAGGGAGCUUCUCAGGGUGCCUCUGAGAAGUCAGGGAUACUGUGGAUUUGGGAGAGGCCUCUCGGGACUCCUCUGGGUUUGGUGCAAUGGAAGAGGGCCUCAUCUCGAGUUGAGGCAGGAACCUCAGGGUUCUGCUCCUGACUUCCUGGAGCCGGAUCUGACUCAGAUCGCAGGGUCCCUGCUGAGUUUGCUCAGGAGUGUCAGGUCUCGUGUUCUGCGGAGGAAUGGAACUCCGCUUACAUCUCAAGUUGUUCAAGGAUGACACCACUUUUCGUGAUGUGUGUGGAACCUGCGGGUUUUUCGGAGAUGCACGGGGGCGUCAGUGCUCCUUCCUGUUGUGCCUUCAUCCACAGGGUUGCCUUCGAAGAGGUGUCCGGGCAUCGGGUUCUCCUCAAGUGCGGACCGGGAAAUCGGGGUCUUUCAGCAUGUUGCACCACCCACGAGGCUACGUCUCGAAUUUCCUCGUGAGACCGGCCUCAUCCUGAGGCGCGCAGGAAAGUCCGGGAACCCUUUCCAGACAAAGCAGGGGAAUCGACCCUCCUUUCGGGAUCAGGAGGAGAGAAAGGGCUCAGAUGAAGUAGUGCCGGGAACCUCGGUGCUCCCCUUGAGUGAAACUGGGUUGCCUUCGAAGUGGUGUCCGGGCAUCGGGUUCUUAUCCAGAGUGGACCGCACAAUCGGGGUCUUUCGGCAUGUGGCACCACCCACGAGGCUACGUCUCGAAUUUCCUCCUGAGAAAGGCCUCAUCCUUAGGUGCGCCGGGAUGGGCGGGAACUCCUUCCAGACAAAGCAGGGGAAUUUACCCUCCUGUCGUGAUCAGGAGGGGAGAAAGUGAUCAGAUGAAGUGGUGCCGGGAACUUCGGUGUUCCCCUCGGUGAGAACGGUGUGUCGGGGAACUUUUGGGGUUACAUCAAGGGUGAAAA